UGGCGGGGGGAGGGGGCCGCCGCAGCCCGCCCCGGCCCGCCGCCCUCGGUCGCCUCGCCGCCCUCCCCUCGUAUCGCCCCCAGCUCUGCCCUCCCGUGAAGCCCCGGCCCUGGGAGUCCCGUCGUUUCUCCCCGCGGCGGCAGGGGCGCUGGCGGGGGGAGCCCGGCGUUUCCAGCCUUGCUGGAGCUCGGCUGCGCCGGUCCCGGGAGGCGUAAAACGUUGUGGCCGUUCUGAGCCAAAGCGGCUUGCUGAGGGAGGAGAGGCCCUGCUUGCCCCAUGCGCCCGGCGAGAGGGCAGCCACCUGCCGCCCUGGGGACCGGGAGCAGUGGCCCAGGAGGUUGUGGUUGGUACAACAUUUGGAAAUGCUAGACUGUGAACUUGCAAAUGAUGAGAGCUUGCAGAACUCUUAUGUGGAAACUGGAUUACAAAGUCAUAAAAUUCCUCACUUUCUGGAUGAAAGUACUUUGUUCCGGUGUAGUAGACCUUGCUGGGAAGUACAGGAAUUGGAACCUAGCUCCAUACUAACCGCACCGAUUCUGCAGUGGGAAACUCCUGGUUCUUAAUAAUUAUUGGGACACCUGACUUUGGACUUAUAUCUAAAACUAUUUGAAAUUUAACUGUCUUUAAUUGCCACUUUAAGUGAUAAUCAGAUCAACAUAUCUUGUAUAUUUAGCAAGUCUAGGUUUUUGGAAGCUGCCUGAGAUUUGACCUUGUGUAAAUGCUUUUUGAAUUACUCAGAAUCAUUUUACAAAUCUAAUUAGCAUGUGAUAAAAUCACUUCAGCUCAUCUCAUUUGACACUAGUCCAUUAAAAUAGCCCAUGAAGUUUUAUUUGUUUAUUAUUCCAGAUUACUGUCAUUUUUAUAUGAAUAAAACUUCAAAAAGAGAAUCA
rnacentral:lncRNA from 1 species